CCUACGGGGUGCAGCAGUCGAGAAUCAUUCACAAUGGGGGAAACCCUGAUGGUGCGACGCCGCGUGGGGGAAUGUAGGUCUUCGGAUUGUAAACCCCUGUCAUGUGGGAGCAAAUUAAAAAGAUAGUACCACAAGAGGAAGAGACGGCUAACUCUGUGCCAGCCGCCGCGGUAAUACAGAGGUCUCAAGCGUUGUUCGGAAUCACUGGGCGUAAAGCGUGCGUAGGCUGUUUCGUAAGUCGUGUGUGAAAGGCGCGGGCUCAACCCGCGGACGGCACAUGAUACUGCGAGACGAGAGGAAUGGAGGGGGAACCGGAAUUCUCGGUGUAGCAGUGAAAUGCGUAGAUAUCGAGAGGAACACUCGUGGCGAAGGCGGGUUCCUGGACAUUAACUGACGCUGAGGCACGAAGGCCAGGGGAGCGAAAGGGAUUAGAUACCCUGGUAGUC
rnacentral:rRNA from 1 species